UACGUAGGGUGCAAGCGUUGUCCGGAAUUAUUGGGCGUAAAGAGCUCGUAGGCGGUCUGUCGCGUCGGAUGUGAAAAUCCAGGGCUUAACCCUGGACCUGCAUUCGAUACGGGCAGACUAGAGUUCGGUAGGGGAGACUGGAAUUCCUGGUGUAGCGGUGAAAUGCGCAGAUAUCAGGAGGAACACCGGUGGCGAAGGCGGGUCUCUGGGCCGAUACUGACGCUGAGGAGCGAAAGCGUGGGGAGCAGACAGG
rnacentral:rRNA from 1 species